CUGACACUGAGAAUGUGACACACCUACUCAUCAACACUGAUGCCAAAGGGAAUCAAUUUGCACUUAGCGGAGAGCUGGGCAGGGCCUUAUAUGUGCCAGUGAAGGAUCCAUCCAGCUUGUGACUCAAUCAUUUCAGCAAACAGACUCUAAGAUCUAGAUAGGAAAAGAAGGGCUCACUGCCAAGAUCAUGACUGAUAAAAAAUAUAAG